AACGAACGCUGGCGGCAGGCUUAACACAUGCAAGUCGAGCGCCCCGCAAGGGGAGCGGCAGACGGGUGAGUAACGCCUGGGAACGUACCCUUUUCUACGGAAUAACGCAUGGAAACGUGUGCUAAUACCGUAUGUGCCCUUCGGGGGAAAGAUUUAUCGGAAAAGGCUCGGCCCGCGGUGUAUUAGCUAGUUGGUGGGGUAAAGGCCUACCAAGGCGACGAUCCAUAGCUGGUCUGAGAGGAUGAUCAGCCACAUUGGGACUGAGCCACGGCCCAAACUCCUACGUGAGACAGCAGUGGGGAAUAUUGGACAAUGGGCGCAAGCCGGAUCCAGCCAUGCCGCGUGAGUGAUGAAGGCCCUAGGGUUGUAAAGCUCUUUCACCGGUGAAGAUAAUGACGGUAACCGGAGAAGAAGCCCCGGCUAACUUCGUGCCAGCCGCCGCGGUAA
rnacentral:rRNA from 1 species